rnacentral:lncRNA from 1 species
UGCCUAUGGUCUGUAAUAUGUGCACUCUGAUAUUCCGUUUGUCUGCUACUCUGUGUUUUGAUAUGCAUCUUAUUUGUCAAAAUUAUGGCUAAAAAGGGGGAGUAGUGUGUGUGUGUGACAAAUGUGUGGACAGAUGUUCUUACAUCUGGUGACUGUUUUUGUGCUAAUGAUCUAUGUUCGUAUUGAGGGGGAGUGUGAGUAAUAAUGCAUGUGUUGAGGGGGAGUAGUGAAUAUUCUUUCUCUGACUAAUGAUAAGUAUGAAUGAAUUCAGGGAGUGUGUGAGUGAUAUUAUCUCUUGAUCGCCUGAAAGUGUUUGAUGACAAGUGUUGUGCCAAGUGUGAUGGCACCUGACUAACGAGUCCACUAUCCACUAUGACUGAG